AAAUUGAAGAGUUUGAUCAUGGCUCAGAUUGAACGCUGGCGGCAGGCCUAACACAUGCAAGUCGAACGGUAGCACAGAGAGCUUGCUCUCGGGUGACGAGUGGCGGACGGGUGAGUAAUGUCUGGGAAACUGCCCGAUGGAGGGGGAUAACUACUGGAAACGGUAGCUAAUACCGCAUAACGUCGCAAGACCAAAGUGGGGGACCUUCGGGCCUCACACCAUCGGAUGUGCCCAGAUGGGAUUAGCUAGUAGGUGGGGUAACGGCUCACCUAGGCGACGAUCCCUAGCUGGUCUGAGAGGAUGACCAGCCACACUGGAACUGAGACACGGUCCAGACUCCUACGGGAGGCAGCAGUGGGGAAUAUUGCACAAUGGGCGCAAGCCUGAUGCAGCCAUGCCGCGUGUAUGAAGAAGGCCUUCGGGUUGUAAAGUACUUUCAGCGAGGAGGAAGGCGUUGUGGUUAAUAACCACAGCGAUUGACGUUACUCGCAGAAGAAGCACCGGCUAACUCCGUGCCAGCAGCCGCGGUAAUACGGAGGGUGCAAGCGUUAAUCGGAAUUACUGGGCGUAAAGCGCACGCAGGCGGUUUGUUAAGUCAGAUGUG
rnacentral:rRNA from 1 species